rnacentral:tmRNA from 1 species
GGGGGUGUAAAGGUUUCGACAGGUGUGUGGAACAAGGAUAAGCGAGCCGUGGCGGUGAUCCACGUAAAAAGUACCCGUUCAAAAGAAACGCUAAAACUAACAACAAUUUCGCACUGGCUGCAUAGUUCAGCCCCGCGCGUCGGCCCCGUGUCACCUGCAGCAUGGGAAUCCGGCGUCAUGCAUGCAGGGACCUCUUGCGUGAUCUCCCGGUAGCGUAAGAGUAUUCACGGGAUAGCGAAACCCCGAGUUUGCCGCGUUGGCGAAGGGUGAGCGAACCAAAAGCAAUCGGCUGCGCUCGGAGAAAGUCUUUCGGAAAUGCUCUUGGACGUGGGUUCGACUCCCACCAUCUCCACC